GAAACUUUUUUGAUUUCUUCGGAAUGAAAAAAAGUGGAUUAGUGGCGGACGGGUGAGUAACGCGUGAGUAACCUGCCUUAGAGAAGGGGAUAGCCUUUGGAAACGAAGAAUAAUACCCUAUGAAACCAUAACCUCGCAUGAGGCCAUGGUCAAAGAUUUAUCGCUCUAAGAUGGACUUGCGUCUGAUUAGUUAGUUGGUGGGGUAACGGCCCACCAAGACAGCGAUCAGUACCGGCUUGAGAGAGUGUACGGCCACAUUGGGACUGAGACACGGCCCAGACUCCUACGGGAGGCAGCAGUGGGGAAUUUUGCACAAUGGGGGAAACCCUGAUGCAGCGACGCCGCGUGAUUUAGAAGGCCUUCGGGUUGUAAAAAUCUUUUCUAUGGGAAGAAAAUGACAGUACCAUAGGAAUAAGGACCGGCUAAUUACGUGCCAGCAGCCGCGGUAAUACGUAAGGUCCGAGCGUUGUCCGGAAUCAUUGGGCGUAAAGGGUACGUAGGCGGGUAAGCAAGUUAGAAGUGAAAUCCUAUAGCUCAACUAUAGUAAGCUUUUAAAACUGCUCAUCUUGAGGUAUGGAAGGGAAAGUGGAAUUCCUAGUGUAGCGGUGAAAUGCGCAGAUAUUAGGAGGAAUACCGGUGGCGAAGGCGACUUUCUGGCCAUAACCUGACGCUGAGGUACGAAAGCGUGGGUAGCAAACAGGAUUAGAUACCCUGGUAGUCCACGCCGUAAACGAUGAGUGUUAGGUGUCUGGAGUAAAUCUGGGUGCCGCAGCUAACGCAUUAAACACUCCGCCUGGGGAGUACGCGCGCAAGCGUG
rnacentral:rRNA from 1 species